rnacentral:rRNA from 1 species
UACGUAGGUCCCGAGCGUUGUCCGGAUUUAUUGGGCGUAAAGCGAGCGCAGGUGGUUUAAUAAGUCUGAUGUAAAAGGCAGUGGCUCAACCAUUGUGUGCAUUGGAAACUGUUAGACUUGAGUGCAGUAGAGGAUAGUGGAAUUCCAUGUGUAGCGGUGAAAUGCGUAGAGAUCUGGAGGAAUACCGGUGGCGAAGGCGGCCAUCUGGCUGAUAACUGACGCUGAGGUGCGAGAGCGUGGGGAGCAAACAGG